UAAGCUCAUUUGGCUAUAUAAAAAUAUUCAGUAGUUUGCUACACAAGGUGACAUACAUUGCUUAGCCAUCUUCACUCACUUUGGAAAAUGCACAGUGAAUUCUGCUUAUACCAUUUCUGCAAUUACGUGAUGCCAGCCUUUCUUGAAAUACAGUGAUUGAACAACUACCUCCAGUAUGCUCAACUGAUCCAAGAAGAGCCAGAAAGGAAUUAAUCAAAAUGAAAUCUGAACCACUUACCCUGACCUAUCUGAAUCAACUACAA